rnacentral:rRNA from 1 species
AACGAACGCUGGCGGCGCGUCUUAAACAUGCAAGUCGAACGGCAGGAAGGGGCUUGCCCCUUCUGAGAGUGGCGGACUGGUGAGUAACACGUGGGUGACAUACCUUUUAGUUGGGGAUAGCUAUUAGAAAUAGUAGGUAAUACCGAAUGUGACCGUACCUGUUAGAGGGGUACGAGGAAAGGAGCUAAGGCUUCGCUAAAAGAAUGGCUCGCGGCCCAUUAUGCUCGUUGGUGAGGUAACGGCCCACCAAGGCGAUGAUGGGUAUCCGGCCUGAGAGGGUGAACGGACACAUUGGGACUGAGAUACGGCCCAGACUUCUACGGGAGGCAGCAGUUAAGAAUAUUCCGCAAUGGACGAAAGUCUGACGGAGCGACGCCGCGUGGAUGAAGAAUGCCGAAAGGUUGUAAAAUCCUUUUAAGCCUGAUGAAUAAGCACAGUAGGGAAUGAUUGUGCGGUGACCGUAGGGCUUGAAUAAGCACCGGCUAAGUACGUG